rnacentral:tRNA from 1 species
GAGGGUAGAGCUCAGUGGUAGAGCGUGUGCUUAGCGUGCACGAGGUCCUGGGUUCAAUCCCUAGGACGUCCA